UACGGAGGGUGCAAGCGUUGUUCGGAUUUAUUGGGCGUAAAGCGCGCGUAGGCGGUUUUCUAAGUCUGAUGUGAAAGCCCUGGGCUCAACCCAGGAAGUGCAUUGGAUACUGGACGACUUGAAUACGGGAGAGGGUAGUGGAAUUCCUAGUGUAGGAGUGAAAUCCGUAGAUAUUAGGAGGAACACCGGUGGCGAAGGCGGCUACCUGGACCGAUAUUGACGCUGAGACGCGAAAGCGUGGGGAGCAAACAGG
rnacentral:rRNA from 1 species